AGAGUUUGAUCCUGGCUCAGGACGAACGCUGGCGGCGUACUUAACACAUGCAAGUCGGACGAGAAAGGAGACUUCGGUCUCUAAGUACAGUGGCGCACGGGUGCGUAACACGUAAGUAAUCUACCCCGAACCCUGGGAUAACCCUCCGAAAGGAGGGCUAAGACUGGAUAGGGUCCCCGAGGUGAAGGCUGCGGGGGGAAAACGGGCCUCUGUUUCAUGCUCGUGGUUUGGGAUGAGCUUGCGGCCCAUUAGCUUGUUGGUAGGGUAAUGGCUUACCAAGGCUACGAUGGGUAGCUGGUCUGAGAGGAUGAUCAGCCACACUGGCACUGAGACACGGGCCAGACUCCUACGGGAGGCAGCAGUGGGGAAUUUUGCGCAAUGGGCGAAAGCCUGACGCAGUAACGCCGCGUGGAGGAUGAAGGCCUUCGGGUUGUAAACUCCUGUCAGGGGGAACGACGGGGAGAGGGUGACAAAUCCUUUCCUCCAGACGGUACCUCCAAAGGAAGCCCCGGCUAAUUCCGUGCCAGCAGCGGCGGUAAUAC
rnacentral:rRNA from 1 species